UACGGAGGAUGCGAGCGUUAUCCGGAUUUAUUGGGUUUAAAGGGUGCGUAGGCGGCCAUGUAAGUCAGCGGUGAAAUUCAGAUGCUCAACAUCUGCCGUGCCGUUGAAACUGCGUGGCUUGAAUGCGGAUGCCGUGGGAGGAAUGUGUGGUGUAGCGGUGAAAUGCAUAGAUAUCACACAGAACACCGAUUGCGAAGGCAUCUCACGAAUCCGCGAUUGACGCUGAGGCACGAAAGUGCGGGGAUCAAAC
rnacentral:rRNA from 1 species